rnacentral:lncRNA from 1 species
UAGUAUCGAUCGAUGUAGAUACAGUUACAUCGAUCGAUGGCAGAGUAGUUUCUGCAGAACUUGUGUUCUUGAGAUGAUUGCUCUUCAUGGAUUUUUUUGUUGAUGUAGAAGGAAGAGUGUUCAUCUUAUUUGCUUGUGUGUUUGCUCUAAUGUGUGUAAGUGGUUUCGGGGGUGCAAAACGAUUUAUAUAGGUAUCCAGAAACCUAGUUAGGGAGGGAAUAUUCU